AACGAACGCUGGCGGCGUGCCUAACACAUGCAAGUCGAGCGCGAAUGGAGCAAUCCUAGUAGAGCGGCGCACGGGUGCGUAACACGUGGGUAAUCUGCCUCAAAGCUCGGGAUAACUUUCCGAAAGGUUAGCUAAUACCGGAUAAGCUCACAGGGUCUUCGGAUCUGGUGAGAAAAUGGUGGCCUCUAUUUAUAAGCUAUCACUUUGAGAUGAGCCCGCGGCCCAUCAGCUAGUUGGCGGUGUAAUAGACCACCAAGGCAACGACGGGUAGCUGGUCUGAGAGGACGAUCAGCCACACUGGAACUGAGACACGGUCCAGACUCCUACGGGAGGCAGCAGUGGGGAAUUUUCCACAAUGGGCGAAAGCCUGAUGGAGCAACGCCGCGUGUGUGAAGAAGGCCUGCGGGUUGU
rnacentral:rRNA from 1 species